rnacentral:rRNA from 1 species
AGUAGCGACAAAGGGGGUGAGAGACCCCCUCGCCGAAAGUCCAAGGGUUCCUGCUUAAAGCUAAUCUGAGCAGGGUAAGCCGGCCCCUAAGGCGAGGCCGAAAGGCGUAGUCGAUGGGAACACGGUUAAUAUUCCGUGGCCAGGAGGAAGUGACGGAUCUCGACGGUAGUUUGCCCUUAUCGGAUUGGGUGGGCUGCUUAGAGGUCCCUGGAAAUAGCCCUCCAUCAGACCGUACCCUAAACCGACACAGGUGGACUGGUAGAGUAUACCAAGGCACUUGAGAGAACCACGUUAAAGGAACUCGGCAAAAUGCCUCCGUAAGUUCGCGAGAAGGAGGCCCCGUCUGUACGCAAGUGCGGGCGGGGGGCACAAACUAGGGGGUGGCGACUGUUUACUUAAAACACAGGGCUCUGCGAAGCCGUAAGGCGACGUAUAGGGUCUGACGCCUGCCCGGUGCUGGAAGGUUAAAAGGAGGGGUGCAAGCUCUGAAUUGAAGCCCCAGUAAACGGCGGCCGUAACAAUAACGGUCCUAAGGUAGCGAAAUUCCUUGUCGGGUAAGUUCCGACCUGCACGAAUGGCGUAACGAUCUCCCCGCUGUCUCUAACGUGGACUCAGCGAAAUUGAACUGUGUGUCAAGAUGCACACUUCCCGCGGUUAGACGGAAAGACCCCAUGCACCUUUACUCCAGCUUUGCACUGGCAUCAGGAUUGUGAUGUGCAGGAUAGGUGGUAGGCAUCGAAGCGGGGACGCUAGUCCUCGUGGAGCCUCCCUUGAGAUACCACCCUUCGCACUCUUGAUGUCUAACCGCGGCCCGUUAUCCGGGUCCGGGACCCUGCAUGGUGGGGAGUUUGACUGGGGCGGUCGCCUCCCAAACAGUAACGGAGGCGCGCGAAGGUAGGCUCAGACCGGUCGGAAAUCGGUCGUUGAUGCAAUGGCAGAAGCCUGCCUGACUGCAAGACUGACAAGUCGAGCAGAGACGAAAGUCGGUCAUAGUGAUCCGGUGGUCCCAAGUGAGGGCCAUCGCUCAACGGAUAAAAGGUACGCUGGGGAUAACAGGCUGAUGAUGCCCAAGAGUCCAUAUCGACGGCAUCGUUUGGCACCUCGAUGUCGGCUCAUCUCAUCCUGGGGCUGGAGCAGGUCCCAAGGGUAUGGCUGUUCGCCAUUUAAAGAGGUACGUGAGCUGGGUUUAGAACGUCGUGAGACAGUUCGGUCCCUAUCUGCCGUGGGUGUAGGAGACUUGAGAAGAGUUGCCCCUAGUACGAGAGGACCGGGGUGAACGGACCACUGGUGGACCAGUUAUCGUGCCAACGGUAGUGCUGGGUAGCUAUGUUCGGACAGGAUAACCGCUGAAGGCAUCUAAGCGGGAAGCCCCCUUCAAAACAAGGUCUCCCUUGAGGGCCGUGGUAGACCACCACGUCGAUAGGCCAGAGGUGUAAGUGCAGCAAUGCAUUCAGCUGACUGGUACUAAUUGCCCGAAAA